GCGGGCAUAGUGUAACGGCAGCACACAGGUUUUCGGGGCCUGAAGGUCGGCUUCCACUCCGACAGAGGCGGUUCGAUUCCGCCUGCCCGUG
rnacentral:tRNA from 1 species